UCGGUGAUGGAUGGGGAUGCGUCUGAUUAGCUUGUUGGCGGGGUAACGGCCCACCAAGGCAACGAUCAGUAGGGGUUCUGAGAGGAAGGUCCCCCACAUUGGAACUGAGACACGGUCCAAACUCCUACGGGAGGCAGCAGUGAGGAAUAUUGGUCAAUGGGCGAGAGCCUGAACCAGCCAAGUAGCGUGCAGGAUGACGGCCCUAUGGGUUGUAAACUGCUUUUAUAAGGGAAUAAAGUGAGUCUCGUGAGACUUUUUGCAUGUACCUUAUGAAUAAGGACCGGCUAAUUCCGUGCCAGCAGCCGCGGUAAUACGGAAGGUCCGGGCGUUAUCCGGAUUUAUUGGGUUUAAAGGGAGCGUAGGCCGGAGAUUAAGCGUGUUGUGAAAUGUAGACGCUCAACGUCUGCACUGCAGCGCGAACUGGUUUCCUUGAGUACGCACAAAGUGGGCGGAAUUCGUGGUGUAGCGGUGAAAUGCUUAGAUAUCACGAAGAACUCCGAUUGCGAAGGCAGCUCACUGGAGCGCAACUGACGCUGAAGCUCGAAAGUGCGGGUAUCGAACAGGAUUAGAUACCCUGGUAGUCCGCACGGUAAACGAUGGAUGCCCGCUGUUGGUCUGAAUAGGUCAGCGGCCAAGCGAAAGCAUUAAGCAUCCCACCUGGGGAGUACGCCGGCAACGGUGCAACUCAAAUGAAUUGACGG
rnacentral:rRNA from 1 species